CUGUGUCGUACAAGGAAAAACGAGCUGAACAAGAGCAGCGAGCGGAACAGGAGCAACGAGCGGAACAGCAGCAGCGAAUGGAACAGGAGCAGCACUAGAACUGCCACCGCGGCCAUCGCAACAAUGAACAGCAGCUUCCCAAGCCUGGACAAGGAGAAGUUCGUGGAGUUGUGGUGCGCCUGCAACGGCAACGCCAACGGCACCCAUCGCUACGACCACAUCCAGAGACUGGCGACCGAACUGCAGCGCGACGGCAGACUACCCACCCUCGUCUUCGUCUCUGUCGUGCUCGUCCUGUACGUCUCCAGCGUCUCUGUGCUGGUCUACAGGUCCCAGAACGGCUGCAGG
rnacentral:lncRNA from 1 species